AUGUGGCUGCCCUGGGUCAAGACGCGCUCCUCCUCCCCCACCUCCGCCUCCACCUGCUCCUCCACGGCGCUCGCCGCCGCCUCGCCGCGCCUCUCCUUCAACUCGCCCUCCCUCAAGGAUCUCCAGGCCCUCCUCCGCUCCGACCCGGCCGCGCCCUCCCCGUCCCCGCCGCAGCCGCCGCACACGGCCCCGUGCUCCCCCUCCGCCGCCCGAGUCUUCCACCGCGUCCGCAUCGCCGCCUCCGCCCUCCGCGCGCUCCGCACCCUGCAGGCGCCGCCGCCCGCCGCCGAGGCGGACCGCCGCGUCGUGCUCUACUACACCUCCCUCCACGUCAUCCGGGGCACCCACGAGGACUGCCGCGCCGCGCGCGCCAUCCUGCGCGGGCUCCGGGCCUCCGUCGACGAGCGCGACCUCGCCAUGGACGCGCGCUACCUCGAGGAGCUCACGGCGCUGCUCCCGCGCGCCCGCCGGAUCACGCUGCCCCAGGUCUUCGUCGGCGGCCGCCACCUCGGCGGCGCCGAGGAGCUCCGCCGCCUGCACGAGUCGGGCGAGCUGCGGCGCGUCGUGGCCGGCGCCGCGCCCCUCGCCGCCUGCGCGCGGUGCGGCGGCGAGCGCUACGUGCUGUGCGGCAGCUGCGACGGGAGCCACAAGCGGUACAGCCUCAAGGGCGGCGGCGGGUUCCGCACCUGCGCCGGCUGCAACGAGAACGGCCUCGUCCGGUGCCCGGACUGCUCCCCGCCGGCCGUCUGA
rnacentral:rRNA from 1 species